GUGGCAUGAUCUGGACUCACUGCAACCCCCGCCUCCUGGGUUCAAGCAAUUCUCCCGUCUCAACCUCCCGAGUAGCUGGGAUUACAGGCGCGUGCCACACCCGGCUAAUUUUGUAUUUGUAGUAGAGAAGGGGUUUCAUCAUGUUGGCCAGGCUGGUCUUGAACUCCUGACCUCAAGUGAUCUGCCCGUCCCAGGCCUCCUAAAGUGUUGGGAUUACAGGCGUGAGCCAUUGUGCCCGGCAAGAGAGGCUUUCUUAAUUUCCCUUCUCAACGACCUGUUAAUUAAUCUUCCUCUUCAAACCCUGCUAUUGGUGAAGCCAGUCGGGUUUCUUACUUUGCUCUUUUGCCGAGUCAGGAGCCAGCUGGAAUGGGUCACUGACACUGUCAAGUUCAGAGGUGGUGAGAGACACAGAUUGCAGGUAUCUUUGUAAGUUCCAAUUCGUCCCCCACACCAGGUUCAGCUUGUCUUUACUCUCCCCUGAGUCACUUCGAGUUUGGUUCUACUGAUCUACAGGAAGCUUCUUCCCACCACUGAAUUCAAGGGACAGUCUUCCCAUAUGUCUUUACCAGCUCUCGCAAAUGAAGACAGAGCCUGUCUAUGUCAUUCAGACUGGCCUCAAACUCCAGGGCUCAACAAAGCCUCCUGCCUCAACUUCCCCAGUAGCUGGG
rnacentral:lncRNA from 1 species